rnacentral:rRNA from 1 species
GUAAUACUCCAUAGAUUAGAGACACUGGAAUGUUCUUUAGUCGAAAGUUCUGGCGCCUUAGGAUGGAUCUGCGGUCGAUUAGGUUGUUGUUGGGGUAACGGCCCAACAAGCCUGUAAUCGAUACGGGUUGUGGGAGCAAGAGCCCGGAGAUGGAAUCUGAGACACGAUUCCAGGCCCUACGGGGCGCAGCAGGCGCGAAAACUUUACAAUGCAGGAAACUGUGAUAAGGGAACUCCGAGUGCCCGUAUACGCGGGCUGUCCAGGUGUUUAAAAAUCAUCUGAAGAAAGGGCCGGGCAAGACCGGUGCCAGCCGCCGCGGUAAUACCGGCGGCUCGAGUGGUGGCCACUAUUAUUGGGCUUAAAGCGUCCGUAGCUGGACCGAUAAGUCUCUUGGGAAAUCCGCCGGCUCAACCGGCGGGCGUCUAAGGGAUACUGUUAGUCUAGGGACCGGGAGAGGUGAGAGGUACUCCGGGGGUAGGAGUGAAAUCCUGUAAUCCCCGGGGGACCACCGAUGGCGAAGGCAUCUCACCAGAACGGCUCCGACAGUGAGGGACGAAAGCUGGGGGAGCGAACCGGAUUAGAUACCCGGGUAGUCCCAGCCGUAAACUAUGCGCGUUAGGUGU